rnacentral:rRNA from 1 species
AUUGAACGCUGGCGGAAUGCUUUACACAUGCAAGUCGAGCGGCAGCGCGGCCUUCGGGCUGGCGGCGAGCGGCGAGCGGGUGAGUAAUGCAUCGGAACAUGCCCAGUCGUGGGGGAUAACACUUCGAAAGAAGUGCUAAUACCGCAUACGUCCUGAGGGGGAAAGCGGGGGAUCGCAAGACCUCGCGCGAUUGGAGUGGCCGAUGUCGGAUUAGCUAGUUGGUGGGGUAAAGGCCUACCAAGGCGACGAUCUGUAGCUGGUCUGAGAGGAUGAUCAGCCACACUGGGACUGAGACACGGCCCAGACUCCUACGGGAGGCAGCAGUGGGGAAUUUUGGACAAUGGGGGCAACCCUGAUCCAGCCAUUCCGCGUGAGUGAAGAAGGCCUUCGGGUUGUAAAGCUCUUUCGGCAGGAACGAAACGGUGGGCUCUAACAUAGUCCGCUAAUGACGGUACCUGAAGAAGAAGCACCGGCUAACUACGUG